GGGUGCAGGUGUAGGUGCAGGUGUGGGUUCAGGUGUAGAGGUAGAUGUGGGUGGGGGUGCAGGUGCAGGUGUGGG